rnacentral:rRNA from 1 species
AUUGAACGCUGGCGGCAGGCCUAACACAUGCAAGUCGAACGAGUGGCGGACGGGUGAGUACUGUCUGGGAAACUGCCCGAUGGAGGGGGAUAACUACUGGAAACGGUAGCUAAUACCGCAUACCAUCGGAUGUGCCCAGAGGGGGUUAGCUAGUGGGUGGGGUAACGGCUCACCUAGGCGACGAUCCCUAGCCGGUCUGAGAGGAUGACCGGCCACACUGGAACUGAGACACGGCCCAGACUCCUACGGGAGGCAGCAGUGGGGAAUAUUGCACAAUGGGCGAAAGCCUGAUACAGCCACGCCGCGUGUAUGAAGAAGGUCUUAGGGUUGUAAAGUACUUUCAUCGGGGAGGCGUUACCCGCAGAAGAAGCACCGGCUAACUCCGUGUCAGCAGCCGCGGUAAUUC